rnacentral:rRNA from 1 species
AUUGAACGCUGGCGGCAGGCCUAACACAUGCAAGUCGAGCGGAUGAAGGGAGCUUGCUCCUGGAUUCAGCGGCGGACGGGCGAGUAAUGCCUAGGAAUCUGCCUGGUAGUGGGGGAUAACGUCCGGAAACGGGCGCUAAUACCGCAUACGUCCUGAGGGAGAAAGUGGGGGAUCUUCGGACCUCACGCUAUCAGAUGAGCCUAGGUCGGAUUAGCUAGUUGGUGGGGUAAAGGCCUACCAAGGCGACGAUCCGUAACUGGUCUGAGAGGAUGAUCAGUCACACUGGAACUGAGACACGGUCCAGACUCCUACGGGAGGCAGCAGUGGGGAAUAUUGGGCAAUGGGCGAAAGCCUGAUCCAGCCAUGCCGCGUGUGUGAAGAAGGUCUUCGGAUUGUAAAGCACUUUAAGUUGGGAGGAAGGGCAGUAAGUUAAUACCUUGCUGUUUUGACGUUACCAACAGAAUAAGCACCGGCUAACUUCGUG